UGAGAAACGGCUACCACAUCCAAGGAAGGCAGCAGGCGCGCAAAUUACCCAAUCCGGACACCGGGAGGUAGUGACAAGAAAUAGCAAUAGAGGGCCCGAUGGGUUUUCUAAUUGGAAUGAGAACAAGGUAAACAGCUUAUCGAGGAGCCAGCAGAGGGCAAGUCUGGUGCCAGCAGCCGCGGUAAUUCCAGCUCUGUAAGCGUAUACCAAAGUUGUUGCAGUUAAAACGCUCGUAGUCGGAACUUGGCGGGCGACGCAGGGCGUCUUUGCGGACGGAUCUGUAUCGGCCGCCUUUGUGGAGGGGGGCUUAGCGGUGCUUUAUUGCCUUGCUAAGUCGCUGCCACCGUUUACUGUGAAAAAAUUGGAGUGUUCAAAGCAGGCGUUUGCCUUGUACACAUUAGCAUGGAAUAAUAGAAUAGGACCUGGUUCUGUUUUGUUGGUUUGUGAGAAUUAGGUAAUGAUUAAGAGGGACGGUUGGGGGCAUUUGUAUUCUGCCGUCAG
rnacentral:rRNA from 1 species